rnacentral:rRNA from 1 species
AAUAGAUACCCCGGUAGUCCUGGCCGUAAACGAUGACCACCAGGUGUGGGAGGUAUCGACCCCUUCUGUGCCAAAGGGAACCCAUUAAGUGGUCCGCCUGGGGAGUACGGUCGCAAGAUUAAAACUCAAAGGAAUUGACGGGGACCCGCACAAGCAGCGGAGCGUGUGGUUUAAUUCGAUGCGACGCGAAGAACCUUACCAGGGUUUGACAUGCAGCUGCACCUCCUGGAGACAGGAGUCCCUUCGGGGCGGCUGCACAGGUGCUGCAUGGCUGCCGUCAGCUCGUGCCGUGAGGUGUUGGGUUAAGUCCCGCAACGAGCGCAACCCCUGUCGUCGGUUAAGCUGUCCGGCGAGACUGCCACGCUAAACGUGGAGGAAGUGGGGAUGACGUCAAGUCAGCACGGCCCUUAGUCCUGGGGCGACACACACGCUACAAUGGGCGAGACAACGGGUAGCCAACCGCGAGGGGAGCUAAUCCUAGCAAACUCGCUCUCAGUUCGGAUGGCAGGCGUGCGAACCCGCCUGCCUGAAGCUGGU